GAUGAACGCUAGCGGGAGGCCUAAUACAUGCAAGUCGGAACGGGUGAAUUAGCUUCGGUUGGUUCACUAGUGGCGCACGGGUGAGUAACGCGUACGCAAUCUGCCCUAUGCUGGGGAAUAGCCCUGGGAAACUGGGAGUAAUACGCCAUAGUUCUACGGAUCUGCAUGGAUUUGUAGAUAAAGCUGCGGCGGCAUAGGAUGAGCGUGCGUCUGAUUAGGUAGUUGGUGAGGUAACGGCUCACCAAGCCGACGAUCAGUAAGGGGCGUGAGAGCGUGGCCCCUCACACGGGUACUGAGGACACGGACCCGACUCCUACGGGAGGCAGCAGUAAGGAAUUUUGGACAAUGGGCGCAAGCCUGAUCCAGCCAUCCCGCGUGCUUGAUGAAGGCCCUCUGGGUUGUAAAGAGCUUUAGUCUGGGAAGAAACCGUUUUCUGCGGAAGACGCUGACGGUACCAGAAGAAUAAGCACCGGCUAACUCCGUGCCAGCAGCCG
rnacentral:rRNA from 1 species